rnacentral:rRNA from 1 species
CCGCCCUGGGUAAGUCGGGACCUAACGCGAGGCCGAAAGGCGUAGUGGAUGGAAAGCAGGCGAAAGAUUCCUGCACCCGUAUAUGGAGCGAAGGAGUGACGGAGACGGAUAGUGUGACCCUCUUAAUGGAUUGAGGGCGAAGCGAAGCGGCUGGUUACCAGGCAAAUCCGGUAACCAAAAGGCUAGAGCGUGACAGGUAAGCGAAAUCUUCGGAAAGUAGCGAAGCACAUGAUGACGGCUUCCAGGAAAAGCUUCUGGCAAUGCAUAUGCGGCCCGUACCAAAACCGACACAGGUGGGCAGGGAGAGAAUCCCGAGGUGAGCGAGAGAACUGUUGCCAAGGAACUCGGCAAAAUGACUCCGUAAGUUAGCGAGAAGGAGUGCUUAAGCAAUUAAGCCGCAGUGAAGAGGCCCAAGCGACUGUUUAACUAAAACACAGCUCUCUGCGAAGUCGCAAGACGAAGUAUAGGGGGUGACACCUGCCCGGUGCUGGAAGGUUAAGAGGAUCUGUUAAGAGCGAUCUGAAGCAGUGAUCCGAAGCCCCAGUGAACGGCGGCCGUAACUAUAACGGUCCUAAGGUAGCGAAAUUCCUUGUCAGGUAAGUUCUGACCCGCACGAAAGGCGUAACGAUUUGGGCGCUGUCUCGGCAGCAGACUCGGUGAAAUCUUAGUACCUGUGAAAAUGCAGGUUACCCGCAACUAGACGGAAAGACCCCAUGGAGCUUUACUGCAGCCUGAUAUUGAAUUCUGGUCAUACAUGUACAGGAUAGGUGGGAGACAAAGAGACGUGCACGCCAGUGUACGAGGAGUCGACGUUGGGAUACCACUCUUGUGUGACCGGGGUUCUAACCUGGUAUCGAGAACAGGUACGGGGAGAGUGUCAGGUGGGCAGUUUGACUGGGGCGGUCGCCUCCCAAAGAGUAACGGAGGCGCCCAAAGGUACGCUCAGAUUGGAUGGAAACCAAUCGUCGAGUGCAAUUGCAGAAGCGUGCUUGACUGUGAGACAGACAAGUCGAACAGGGACGAAAGUCGGGAAUAGUGAUCCGGCGGUGCCGAAUGGAAGGGCCGUCGCUCAACGGAUAAAAGCUACCCUGGGGAUAACAGGCUGAUCUCGCCCAAGAGUUCACAUCGACGGCGAGGUUUGGCACCUCGAUGUCGGCUCAUCGCAUCCUGGAGCUGGAUUCGGUUCCAAGGGUUGGGCUGUCCGCCCAUUAAAGCGGUACGCGAGCUGGGUUCAGAACGUCGUGAGACAGUUCGGUCCCUAUCUGUUGUGGGCGAAGGAGAUCUGCGGAGAGCUGUCCUCAGUACGAGAGGACCGGGAUGGACCUACCGCUGGUGCACCGGUUGUUCCGCCAGGGGCAUAGCCGGGUAGCUAAGUAGGGAAAGGAUAAGCGCUGAAAGCAUCUAAGCACGAAGCCUACUCCAAGAUGAGAUCUCCCAUUCGCAAGAAGUAAGACCCCUUAAAGACGAUAAGGUAGAUAGGCCAGGGAUGGAAGUGCAGUGAUGUACGGAGUUGACUGGUACUAAUCGGUCGAGGACUUAAUCAG